UACGGAGGGUGCAAGCGUUAUCCGGAUUCACUGGGUUUAAAGGGUGCGUAGGUGGGUUGGUAAGUCAGUGGUGAAAUCUCCAGGCCUAACUUGGAAACUGCCAUUGAUACUAUCAAUCUUGAAUACCGUGGAGGUCAGCGGAAUAUGUCAUGUAGCGGUGAAAUGCUUAGAUAUGACAUAGAACACCAAUUGCGAAGGCAGCUGGCUACACGAAUAUUGACACUGAUGCACGAAAGCGUGGGGAUCAAACAGG
rnacentral:rRNA from 1 species